rnacentral:lncRNA from 1 species
GAUCUUCCAGAUGGUUGAAGAAUCUCAAAUUUCGGUUUUUCCAUUAUGAUUGCAAAUUGUUGGUCUGAUUCAGAGGGUCAACCACUUCAUGUAGACAAAUUGUUUUCCCACAAGAAUGUUAAGUCGCUUUUUUCUGUUUAUUUCUCCUCAUUGAUUUCUUGAUUUCUGUCCUCACUUUCAUAGAUGUUUUAUUUUUGGAUUUGGUGAAUAUCAUGGCAUUUUCAUGGACAUGAAGUAUGACUUUGAUGGUGAACUGAUAUUAAUCUUUAAUGGCAUAGACUCCCACAAAUCUUUCGUUUAACUGGUAACUCAUUAAUUUUCUCAUUCCUCCUUUCUCUUGUUGUUGGUUAUUGGACUAUUUAAGGAAAUUGUCAUUGGUAUAAUUUUGAGAUACUAUAUAUUCUUCAGAAUACAAUGACUAGAUCCCUGAAUCUAAUUAUAUAAUAGCUUCAUUUGUCCACACAAUCUAUAAACACCAACAAGGGGAAGAAGAAAGUUAAUCCGUUACCAGCGAAACUCAACGAUUUGUGUGUCUAUGUCAUUGAGAUACCAUACUAAAGGGUUAACUUUUGGUUCACCACCAAAGUCCCAAUUCCUGUUCAUUAAAAUGCCAUGAUAUACAUCAAAUCCAAAAAUAAAACAACUAUAAAAUAUAGGAUAGAAAACAAGAAACCAAACAUGAGAAAUAAACUGAAAAAUGUUGUUGAACUUUAUUUUCUUGUUGGAAAAUGAUUUGUCCACAAGAUGUGGUUGACUCUGGAAUACAUUUGAAUCCAGCAAAAAAGCAGCAUUUUCCUUGGUUCAGUUUAACUCCUUCCUGCGAUCAUUGUGCUAUAAAGCUUCCUUUUAAAUUUAAUCUUAUAGCUAAUAGUAUCUUCACUAUCUUAUCUUUGAACCUUUCUGUUUGGUUCAGUUUAAUUAACUCCUUCCGUGAUUAUUGAUUAUUGAGCUUUAAAGCUUCCCUUUAAAUUUAAAUGUAUAGCUAGUACUAUCUUUACUAUCUUAUCUUUAUAUUUUGUUGUCUUUGACUCUCUAGGAACAGAAAGAACAUUCUGCAACUACUAGUGGAACCAUACGUAAGUACAUCUGCAUUUUCAGUAUAACGAUUGUUUAUAUAAUGUCUGUUCAGUAGGAUAUAAAUUAUUGACAAUCUUUUUUCUGGUAUUUGUAAUUGCAUAUACUGAUUAACAAGUUAUUCUUAUAUGGAUAGGAAUUUUCAUCCAUAUGUGUCUGUUCUCAUGAAGUAUAUCGUGUUGCAAGUUAAGCAUGUUUGCCAACAGGAGGUAUGUUCUUUUUUCUAUGAUUCAGUUAACUAGAUAUAACUAUUGAUUUUGUUCAUCAAAGAAGUGUCGUUCUUUUCUCGUGAUCUCCACUGAGUUGAUUUUAGUUAGAGAUUUUUAAACAUAUAUAAUGUAGUAAAUGUAAACCCCUUUUGAAGUGAUGAGAGGAAAAAAUCCAUUGAAACAUGGAGCUUUCAGUGCAUGAUGCAGAAAUUGGUAUACUAAACACUAUUGCAUAGGCAGACGGAUAUUGUCCCCAUGUAAAUUUAAUAAAUAAAAAGCAUUAAACUGUUAAGAGAGUAUGUCUUGCUUUUCUUAAUUGUUCUUGCAUUAACAUUAAACCAUGCAACCUUUAACUACAUACCGCAACGUGAGUUUUGGUUGACUAAAAAAACAACAGUUUUGGUUAGACUUUGCCAAUAGAACAAGUACAUCUAAUGGCCAUGCGUAUGUAUUUGUUCUUUGUUUUGUGAUUUUGUUUUACAAAAAUAUUUCCUUUAAUGACUUAUAUUUUUAAUAAUCUGAACAGGUUGGUAUAUUCAUGAAUGGGAAUCUUCUUGCCCCAGAAAUGAANUGGAGCUUUCAGUGCAUGAUGCAGAAAUUGGUAUACUAAACACUAUUGCAUAGGCAGACGGAUAUUGUCCCCAUGUAAAUUUAAUAACUAAAAAGCAUUAAACUGUUAAGAGAGUAUGUCUUGCUUUUCUUAAUUGUUCUUGCAUUAACAUUAAACCAUGCAACCUUUAACUACAUACCGCAACGUGAGUUUUGCUUGACUAAAAAAACAACAGUUUUGGUUAGA